rnacentral:rRNA from 1 species
CCUACGGGCGGCAGCAGUGAGGAAUAUUGGUCAAUGGUCGCGAGCCUGAACCAGCCAAGUCGCGUGAGGGAAGACGGUCCUGUGGAUUGUAAACCUCUUUUGUCGGAGAGCAAAAGACGCCACGCGUCGCGUUCCGAGAGUACCCGAAGAAAAAGCAUCGGCUAACUCCGUGCCAGCAGCCGCGGUAAUACGGAGGAUGCGAGCGUUAUCCGGAUUUAGUGGGUUUAAAGGGUGCUCAGGCGGAAGAUCAAGUCAGCGGUAAAAUUGAGAGGCUCAACCUCUUCGAGCCGUUGAAACUGGGUUUCUUGAGUUGGCGAGAAGUAUGCGGAAUGCGCGGUGUAGCGGUGAAAUGCAUAGAUAUCACGCAGAACUCCGAUUGCGAAGGCAGCAUACCGGCGCUCAACUGACGCUCAUGCACGAAAGUGUGGGUAUCGAACAGGAUUAGAUACCCCUGUAGUC